UAUAGCUUUAUAGGAUUAAUUAAAUAUAAAUUUAAUGUAAAAUUUUAUCUAUUUAAAGAAGUCAAAAAAAUAAUUUGGAUUAAAAUUUUAUUUUAAUUUAUUUUUAAAAAUUUUCUAUGAGGAAUAAAUUUUAAAAAAAUUAAGAAUAUAGCCUUAAAAGUUUUAAACUAGAAUUAGAUAUAUUUUUAUUAAAAAAAUUGCUAAAAUAUUAAGAAUUGAUUUAGAAUAGAAUUUAUACUUCUUAAUUUUAUGAAAAAACUUUAAAUAUCACCCCUGUGGCUUCACACUUUUUCACUUUAGUAUCUUAUGGUUUAAAGUAUAUCAAUUUAGUACCAUAUAGUUUCGCACUUUCUCGCUUUAAUACCCUGUGGUUUAAAGCACAUCAAUUUAGUGCCCUAUAGUUUCAUUUUUUUUUUUCAUUGGCUCAUCUUUUAAUAUUUCGUUAAAUUAUAUACAAAAAACUUCAAAUACCUUAGCUAGGUUUAUUGAAUAUUACAGUACCCUUAAAUUUUAACUUUGUCACUGAUUUUUUUUUCCUCCGUUAAUAUUUCGGUAAUAACUUGUUCAGAUAAUCCUUGUGGUUGGUGACCUGAAAAUCCGAUGGAUUUACCGUCUGGACUAUAAUGUUGGACUUUUGCUAAAGUAUUUUGUAAAAUUUCAGCUUCUAAGUGUUUUGGAUUUUGGGUGAUAUUUUAAAUAAAAUAGUUCAGGCCCUAGAAAAUAAGAACAACAAUAUACAAAAAAACUUCAGAUACCUUACGAAAAAAAUUAGUGAAAUAAAUAAUAAAAAGAGAAAAAUGAAACCAUAAGAUACUAACUUGAUAAAUUUUAAACCAUAGGGUACUAAAGUGAGAAAGUGCGAAACCACAUGGGCUAACUUAAUAUAUUUUAAACCAGCGGGUACUAAAUAGAAAAAGUGUGAAACCACGUAGGAGUAUUUGAAGUUUAUUCUAAUUUUAUUAUAUAUAGGACUCAAAAUUUACUGUAGAGAGAGAAUUUUAGAGUUUAUUAAAUUUUUGUU
rnacentral:lncRNA from 1 species